GACGAACGCUGGCGGCGUGCUUAACACAUGCAAGUCGAACGGUAAGGCCCUUCGGGGUACACGAGUGGCGUACGGGUGAGUAACACGUGGGUGAUCUGCCCUGCACUUCGGGAUAAGCCUGGGAAACUGGGUCUAAUACCGGAUAGGACCCUGGGAUGCAUGUCCUGGGGUGGAAAGCUUUUGCGGUGUGGGAUGGGCCCGCGGCCUAUCAGCUUGUUGGUGGGGUGAUGGCCUACCAAGGCGACGACGGGUAGCCGGCCUGAGAGGGUGACCGGCCACACUGGGCCUGAGAUACGGCCCAGACUCAUACGGGAGGCAGCAGUGGGGAAUAUUGCACAAUGGGCGCAAGCCUGAUGCAGCGACGCCGCGUGAGGGAUGACGGCCUUCGGGUUGUAAACCUCUUUCAGCACCGACGAAGCGCAAGUGACGGUAGGUGCAGAAGAAGGACCGGCCAACUACGUGCCAGCAGCCGCAGUAA
rnacentral:rRNA from 1 species